UGGGGAAUAUUGGACAAUGGGCGAAAGCCUGAUCCAGCAACGCCGCGUGAAGGAUGAAGUAUUUCGGUAUGUAAACUUCGAAAGAAUAGGAAGAAUAAAUGACGGUACUAUUUAUAAGGUCCGGCUAACUACGUGCCAGCAGCCGCGGUAAUACGUAGGGACCAAGCGUUGUUCGGAUUUACUGGGCGUAAAGGGCGCGUAGGCGGCAAUUCAAGUCAUCUGUGAAAUCUCCGGGCUUAACUCGGAACGGUCAGAUGAUACUGCUUUGCUAGAGUGCAGAAGGGGCAAUCGGAAUUCUUGGUGUAGCGGUGAAAUGCGUAGAUAUCAAGAGGAACACCUGAGGUGAAGACGGGUUGCUGGGCUGACACUGACGCUGAGGCGCGAAAGCCAGGGGAGCAAACGGGAUUAGAUACCCCUGUAGUCCCUGAGCGGGCUGGCAAGGCGCAU
rnacentral:rRNA from 1 species